rnacentral:rRNA from 1 species
ACUCCUACGGGAGGCAGCAGUAAGGAAUAUUGGUCAAUGGGGGCAACCCUGAACCAGCCAUGCCGCGUGCAGGACGACUGCCCUAUGGGCUGUAAACUGCUUUUGUUAGGGAAUAAACCCCACUACGUGUAGUGGGCUGAAUGUACCUAAAGAAUAAGGAUCGGCUAACUCCGUGCCAGCAGCCGCGGUAAU